AAGUCGAACGGACUCUUCGGAGUUAGUGGCGGACGGGUGAGUAACGCGUGAGAAUCUACCCUUAGGUUGGGGACAACAGUUGGAAACGACUGCUAAUACCCAAUGUGCCGAGAGGUGAAAGGUUUACUGCCUGAGGAUGAGCUCGCGUCUGAUUAGCUAGUUGGUGGGGUAAGAGCGUACCAAGGCGACGAUCAGUAGCUGGUCUGAGAGGAUGAUCAGCCACACUGGGACUGAGACACGGCCCAGACUCCUACGGGAGGCAGCAGUGGGGAAUUUUCCGCAAUGGGCGAAAGCCUGACGGAGCAAGACCGCGUGCGGGAGGACGGCCUGUGGGUUGUAAACCGCUUUUGAUAGGGAAGAAGAUCUGACGGUACCUAUCGAAUCAGCAUCGGCUAACUCCGUGCCAGCAGCCGCGGUAAUACGGAGGAUGCAAGCGUUAUCCGGAAUUAUUGGGCGUAAAGCGUCCGUAGGUGGUUGAGUAAGUCUGCUGUUAAAGCGUGGAGCUUAACUCCAUACCGGCAGUGGAAACUACUGGACUAGAGUGCGGUAGGGGUCAGGGGAAUUCCCAGUGUAGCGGUGAAAUGCGUAGAUAUUGGGAAGAACACCAGUGGCGAAAGCGCCUGACUGGGCCUGCACUGACACUGAGGGACGAAAGCUAGGGGAGCGAAAGGGAUUAGAUACCCCUGUAGUCCUA
rnacentral:rRNA from 1 species